CCUACGGGAGGCAGCAGUGAGGAAUAUUGGUCAAUGGACGAGAGUCUGAACCAGCCAAGUAGCGUGAAGGAUGACUGCCCUAUGGGUUGUAAACUUCUUUUAUAUGGGAGUAAAAUGUUCCACGUGUGUGAUUUUGUAUGUACCAUAUGAAUAAGGAUCGGCUAACUCCGUGCCAGCAGCCGCGGUAAUACGGAGGAUCCGCGCGUUAGCCGGAUUUAUUGGGUUUAAAGGGAGCGUAGGUGGAUUGUUAAGUCAGUUGUGAAAGUUUGCGGCUCAACCGUAAAAUUGCAGUUGAAACUGGCAGUCUUGAGUACAGUAGAGGUGGGCGGAAUUCGUGGUGUAGCGGUGAAAUGCUUAGAUAUCACGAAGAACUCCGAUUGCGAAGGCAGUUCACUGAACUGCAACUGACACUGAGGCUCGAAAGUGUGGGUAUCAAACAGGAUUAGAUACCCGAGUAGUC
rnacentral:rRNA from 1 species